GGGUGGGAUCCCUACACCUAGGUUGAUGUUGGGAAAAAGAACCGAAGUGCCUCUUGGGUUCAAAGGAUCCGCAGCCGUAGGAGCAAAGACUGAAUACGCGAGCGAAUACUGAUUUGAUGAGGGGACCUUUCUGGUCCUCAGUUUGAGAUUAUCCUCCCUCGGCCUGGCUUCAUGACUCAUCUGUAAUUCCAGCACCUGAAAGGCUUAAACGCCCACAAGAUUAUGGUCACUCAGCCAUAAGUAAAACGCCAGCACUCAUCAGUCUGAAUGGUCAAUAAAGGGGAGAGUACGCAAGCGUGCAGGCUGGCUAAUCCUAAGAACAACUCGGUGGUACAGAGGAAAUUCUAAGAACAUGCAGCAGAUUAAAG
rnacentral:lncRNA from 1 species